rnacentral:rRNA from 1 species
GACGAACGCUGGCGGUGUGCUUAACACAUGCAAGUCGAACGGUAAGGCCCUUUCGGGGGUCCACGAGUGGCGCACGGGUGAGUAACACGUGAGUAACCUGCCCUCAUCUCUGGGAUAACAGUCGGAAACGGUUGCUAAUACUGGAUAUGAGCUUGCAAGGCAUCUUGUGGGUUGGAAAGAUUUUUUUGGUUGGGGAUGGACUCGCGGCCUAUCAGCUUGUUGGUGAGGUAGUGGCUCACCAAGGCUUCGACGGGUAGCCGGCCGGAGAGGGCGACCGGCCACAUUGGGACUGAGAUACGGCCCAAACUCCUACGGGAGGCAGCAGUGGGGAAUAUUGCACAAUGGACGGAAGUCUGAUGCAGCAACGCCGCGUGCGGGAUGACGGCCUUCGGGUUGUAAACCGCGUUCAAUUGUGACGAAGCUUUUUGUGACGGUAGCAGUAGAAGAAGCACCGGCUAACUACGUG